CUACGGGAGGCAGCAGUAAGGGAUAUUGCGCAAUGGACGAAAGUCAGACGCAGCGACGCCGCGUGGGCGAUGAAGGCCUUCGGGUUGUAAAGCCCUUUUAUGGGGGAAGAGAAAAAGGACGGUACCCCAGGAAUAAGUCCCGGCUAACUACUUGCCAGCAGCCGCGGUAAAACGUAGGGGACAAGCGUUAUCCGGAUUCACUGGGCGUAAAGAGCGUAGAGGCGGUUCCGUAAGUUGGGCGUGAAAGCUCCGGGCUUAACUCGGAGAUGUCGUUCAAUACUGCGGGGCUUGAGGACAGCAGAGGAAGGUGGAAUUCCCGGUGUAGUGGUGAAAUGCGUAGAUAUCGGGAGGAACACCCGUGGCGAAGGCGGACUUCUGGGCUGUUCCUGACGCUGAAGGCGAAAGCUAGGGGAGCGAACGGGAUUAGAUACCCCGGUAGUCCUAGCUGUAAACGAUGGAUGCUGGGUGUGAGGGGUGUAGAUUCCCUCUGUGCCGAAGCAAACGCGUUAAGCAUACCGCCUGGGGACUACGGCACGCAAGGAUAAAACUCGGAACGAAUUGACGGGGGCCAGCACAAGCAGCGGAGCGUGUGGUCAAAUUCGAUGCUACACGAAGAACCGUACCUGGCUUUGACAUGCACUUGGUAGGGAACCGAAAGGGGACCGACCUUCGGGAGCGUGCACAGGUGC
rnacentral:rRNA from 1 species